rnacentral:lncRNA from 1 species
UUUUUUUUUUUAUCAGUAUAAUAGAGAUAAUUCCUACUUUAUUUUUUUUUAAGAUUUUACUUAUUUAUUUGGGAGCGAGAGAGCAUGAGUUGGGAGAGAGGCAGAGGGAAAGAGAGAGAAGCAGACUCCCCUGCUGAGCAGGAGCCCAAUGUGGGACUCCAUCCCAGGACCCCGGGAUCAUGACCUGAGCCAAAUGCAGAUGCUUCACAGCCUGAGCCACACAGGUAUCCCAAUUAUUCCUACUUUAUAAAGUUAAAUUAAAUGAAUAAUAAAGGCAGAGUGGUAGCACAGUAAAUAUUAUUCAACACUAGGCAUUUAAAAUACAUUUCACUUAACUACUACUACCACCUGCCCUGUGAUGCAGGCAUCGUCAUUCCCACUGGAUAUCAGAAGACUGAGAAUCGACAAGGACAAGAAACCUGUACAAAGUCACACCAUUAUUAAGAUUUAAAAUCCAGUUUUCUCCAAAGCCCGUGAUGUUUAUUCUUACACCAAUGAGCCUGACUGGGGGUACUAGCAGUGGAGGUGGAGUUAAAAACUAUCCUGCAGAGGCAACAGCAGAGAAAGAUGAUGAUUAUUUUUAUUUAAUCGUGGAGGGACAUGUGCCGAAUACAGAUUCUGGUUUCCAAGUGCCCAGAAUCUCAGAUGAAGUGUUCCGAGAGCACAGGGAUUGGAGGAAGGAGGGGCAAAGGAUAGAUGAUAUAUGAAGUCCAGUGGAUUAAUCAUGUUCACCAGUUCUUGUCAUCCUUUUUCAUGCUGCAAGGCUGCAUCGGCAUUUUUUUUUAAUAGGCCACAGACAUUCACAAUCAAAAUUUCAAGCUAAAAAUACCUCCAUGCCAUCCUGGAAAAUAUUAAACAAAACAAAACAAAACACCUGAGUGCUUUCCAGCCAACAAAGAGAGAAAUGUGUAGGCUGUGAUGAGUAAUUGAACCUACUUUUGUCUGUUUGCAAUAAACAUUUGCAAAACAUAUUAUCCUUUUGACAUUUCUGUGAGGAUUGCUCAUAUUCUAUUUUCUGCAAAAUGCCUUCCAUUCUUACUAGGUUCCCAUAAUUACCUCUUUAGAGGAAGACCAUCUCAGCCCUUCAGAGACAUCAUCAAUUUCCAGCAGCUGAUUCCUAAUUUUUUUGAUGUUGCUGUUAUACUGAGCUAUCUCUUGAGGGUGGAGAACCAAUACCACUAUAGAUAGAUAUGGAUCUAUCCAUAUCUAUAUCCAUAUCCAUCUAUCUAUAGAUGGAUAUGGAUAUCUUGAGAGCUAGCCAGAAAAGUGAUGGGAUGGAAAAGCUAGUGGCAGUUUGAUGAUAUUCCUUCUGCAUUUGUCAAAUCCCAUGGUCCCUGCAUGGCCCAGCAGCAGUAAGGGAACUACAGUGCUUGGGUUCUGAUCCCUGUAAUUUUCAAGCUGUGUGGCCUUAAGAAAAUUGCUUGAACAUUCUGUGUCUAAGUUUCCUUAUCUAUAACACUGGUAUAAAAAUAGUAUUUAUAUCACAGAGUUAUAAGGAUCAAGGAAGUUAAUGUGUAUAAAGAGCUUAAAUAUGUGCAUCUUAUAGUAUGUCCUCAAUAAAUGGUAAUUAUUUAAAAAAAUAAAUAAAUGGUAAUUAUGAUUGUAGUCAUGCUUACUUGGCAUGAAAAAUGAAAGCCUGGCAGUGAGAAGAUGUUGUCUUAUUGAGUGUGGAAUCUCCUUGAUUUCAUUGGCAAAGCAGACCUACACAGCAUUCACAUUAUACUGCAGAUUAUUAUAGGGCGCAAUAAUGAGUCUGUAGUGGUUUUUUUUUUCUUUAAAUUAUAAUGGGAAACCACUGGGGUUCUUUUAGCAGGGGAGUUUAAACGAUCAGAUUAGCAUUUUACAAAGUUAUUCCAACUAUUCUUUGGGUAGUAGAUUGGACAAACGUGAUGCUAAGAAAUCAGGUAGGUGAGGCAUUUACAAGGGUAUUGACCAUGGUGGUCAGGGAGGAGAUGGAGCAAAGUGGACUCAACAUAUGGACUGCAUGCAACUCCCAGGACUCGGUCAUAGAGGGGGGAAUGUGAAGGAUGGUGCCAAGAUAUCAGACCAACUGCGCAGAAGAGCAACUCAUUGAAAGAGAUGCAGGUAUCUAUGAAUACUCUGGAGCAAAGGCAGAAAAAAACAACCAAAAGGAAUAGAAAUGUCUAUACAUAAAAGGAGAGAGAAGGAAAUAGAUAGGAAAGAUUUGUGGAGAACCUACACUCUCCACGGGGUGCUGCAGAGCUGUGCUGUAUGCUGGUGGGGUGGCAGGCUCAUGGCCUGCCAGAAGAGGACACUGCCAUGUUUGAGGACCACCAUGCUGCUCGGUUCUGCACAGGAAUGUGACAGCUUUGAAUUAGUGCUUAGUUUAUUUAUGCCGGUGUGGCCCUGCCAUCAAAAUACAGGGUAAUGCCCUCUGGCACAGAAAUGAUUUCUUUUGUAUUCCCAGGUAUAUUUAGCACAGUUCCACGUAUAUAAUGGAAUUCUUGGCAAAUACUCCUUGAAUUUAGAAAGUUGUUGAUUAAAAGGUAAAACAUUUAUUAAUCAGCAACAUUUUUGAGAGCCUGCUUUAGGCUUUGGGAAGAUAGAAGAUGAUUGAGAGAUGGACACUGAUCUUCCCUACCCACCUUUCCUUUCCCUUUCUCUUCUCCCCUACCUCCUUCUGCUUCUACUUGUCUAUCUAAUAUAUACAUACACACAUGCACAAGUAUGCACACACACACAUAUACACCCCACAUAUGAUGCCAAAAAGGGGAAUCAGCAACUGGGAGUCCAGCACUGGAUCUUUGUACAGAUAAAAUCUGGGCCUGCAUGAUGUGUCUCUCAUCCUCCAUAGACUGGCCGACUCACCAUGGCAUGUCCUCUUAAUGGUAAAGUACAAGAAAGCAAGCCCAGCUCUGUGAUCCAGUUUGAAGCCUCUGUCUGCACCACACCUGCCUACGUCUCAUUGGCCAAAACACAUCACAAGGUAGAAUCCAAAGCCAAGGUGCAGGCAUGUAAAAUCUGCCUCCAGCAGAAGCUGCAAAAUUCCGUAGCUAAAUGGUAUAUGUACCUGGACAGAUCUAGAAUCACAGUUAUCUUGGACAAGUCCUUUCCAUUCUCCAGGAGUCCUCACCUCUGCAAACAGCUUGGAUCAGAUCCAUGUGUCCUACAGAGUGAAAUCCAGCCCUCCAGUAGCACACGAAAUGAAUUGACAUGGCACACGAAAUUUAAUCAAUUCUUUGAUGUGAUAUUAACUAACAUUGAGCACAGAAGGUGAUGAGGAUUCACUUUUGAAUUUUCUUUCAAUAUUGCCAACUGCAUCAAGGAGAAAGUCUGAGUUAGUGCCCACGACAAGCCCAAAACCUUUGCUGACUUCUCCUUUUAACACUGAGCUAGCAGACCACAGCAUUGAGCAAGAAUUUCCAAAAAGUGCUUUAUUUUCAUUUUAUUUAUUUUUGACUACAGUAUAUUUAUAACAAGUGGCACCAGAUUUAUUUAGUUAUGUAAAGUUUCUUUAAAAAUAUAUUUAAAUAAAAAUGGAGUCUAUUUAAAGAAAAUAUAAAGAAAAUUAUUGGUGACCUGCAGAUAGAAAAAAAUCAUGGCUAUGGGCUUGAAUAACUGAAGUUUGGGAGAUUCUGGAUUUGACCAUCUUUACGGUUCUGAGAUCCUGUGAUCACUGCCAACUUCAUUGCUCCAGUUGUGGUCUCCACUUCCACCCCAAGGCUUUCUUAGAGGGAGACGAACAGCCUUCUCUUCGACGGCUUCUACGACCUUUCAUUUCCUCCUCCCCUCUGAAGUUGACAGCCCAGCUGUCAAUAUGACUACCCAGCCAGAUGUAUUUGAUUGACAUGCUCAUCCCUGCACAAUGGGCCAGAGUCAGUCACCCUGUGGCUGUCCCUGCCCUUGGCAUUGUGAUGCAUGGUCCCAGAUUCCAAAUGUCAUGUCACAUCUCCUCAUGGUAUCAAAGCACCCUGGAGAGCAGGAAACCCUAACAGAUGGCUGAAAUGCCUUCAAAAAGACUCCCCCAGACAGCCUGGGAGAUGCACAGAGCCCUGUCGGUGGUGAUGGGUUGCAACAUAUGCUCGGCAAAAAAAAUGCCAAAGGGAAGAGAGGUUCCCGCACCCACCGAGACCACAGAAUACUGGUUCUGCCUUAGAACAGAAUGCUGGGUAUCAGCUGCCUUAGAAAGAGUGCCAUUUACUUUUGCAAAGUAUCUGUUAAAUCCCUGAUCUCAAUGCUUAGUUCUUAGACUUUUAAAGGUAGUGAUGGUAAACUUUUUAUUUACAUUGAAUAUUUCAUUACAAAGCAGAUGAAUGGGGGAAAGGUCAUUUUCUCUCAAUAGUGGACUGUCACUCCCUCUGGUCCAGGAAUUCCUAACCUGCAUUUUCUGGAUCCUUUAGAAGCAUACAGCUAGUCCUAAAGAGGCCUGUGAACCUUCCAAAAUUGCCUGUGAAUGUUUGCAUGUGUGUAUACAUACAAGUUACUGUGGAGAAAGGGUCUAAAGCUUUAGUUCAGAUUUUCAAAAUGGUCCAUGUCUCAUUAGAAACCACAAUUCUAACAGUGCUCCUUAGAGAGAAUGCAUGGGGCAAAAAACAUCAAAACAAAACAAAACAAAAUUAAACUGGGCAGCAAUAUAAGGUAACAAGGAUUUUCCUCUCAUAGUAAUAUUAAGGAUAACAUUUGCUAUUUACCAUCAUCAUAAUUUGAAAAGGGUUAUUUCAGUGUAGCUGGACAUGAAAAAACAUUUCAGGAAGGCCAUAAGCUUAGAUUAAAAACAUAUGGGAUCCCUGGGUGGCGCAGCGGUUUGGCGCCUGCCUUUGGCCCAGGGCGCGAUCCUGGAGACCCGGGAUCGAAUCCCACGUCGGGCUCCCGGUGCAUGGAGCCUGCUUCUCCCUCUGCCUGUGUCUCUGCCUCUCUCUCUCUCUCUGUGACUAUCAUAAAUAAAUAAAAAUUUAAAAAAAAAAAAAAAUAAAAAAAAUAAAAA